AUGCAACAAUAAAAAGCAAUGAGAACUAUCUAUGUACUGAUAAGGAGAGAUCUUUGGGAUGUAAUAGCAUAUAUAGUUUAAUAUCUUUUCUACAUGAAAUGGGAAAAUAUAUAUGUGUCAAAAAUAAUACUGGAAGGAUGAGCAAAAGCUAUAAAAAUAAUUACAGAGAGCAGAGAGGGCUAAGUUAAAGAGAAAGGCCAGGAGAGGCAUCUAGGCAUAUAUUUUUUUGGCAUACUUUUGACUUUCAUACCAUGUAAAUGCAUUGAUCUUCCUGUUUUUAAGGAGAUAAAAGUGAAAGAGAAAUCCUUAAAACUAGAAACAAACUUAGAUAAUUACAUAUAAUUCCAUAUAAACUGGUAACAUAAUCACAAAGAAAGGCUUUUCAAAGUUACUUUAGAACAUAGAUCUUUAACUGUACAUCUUCAGGAAUGUGUUCCAUAGGGAAGAGAAAAGAACCACAAAGACAUUUUAAACUUCCUUUAGUAGUUUUAUUGUUUGUAGUGUUUUGGUAACUACUCUAUUUAUAAACUAUUAAAAAGUUCUAUCAUUAAAGUCCCACCAAUGCAGGGGAAAUCAUUUUUUUAAGGGAAUAUAAACGAAAGAACAAACUGUAAAAGGUAAUGGAGGAACAGAGAAUCCACAGAGAGGAAGUGAUAAAGCAAUCCAGAUUUUAAACACAGCAGGAAGCCACUCCAACCUUAGACUAGAUGGACAAAAAAGAAAAGAUGGAGUUCUAGAGUCCAGAGGACUAGGUCACCUUUCGGCAGUUAUCACCAACAUGGCCCUUCCUAGGGGCCUGGAACCACAGAGAAGCAGUUACAUUCAGACAUCUCCCAAGACAGGGAGGAAAAGGUAGAAAUACUCUGGGUUUACCCUUUUGAUUAGCACCUCAUCCCCAAUCUCCCACCAGUGAGUACUACUGAUGGCAUGGGAGCCUACAAAGGUCAUGGAGUAUGGAAAGAGUAUGAAAUAGAUCUGAGGGCAAACAGGCUAAGGGACAGUCACAGAAGCUAAUAAAUAUUAAUUUUAUUAAAAAUCAAGAUUUUCAGCAUUAGGGAAAAAUAAGUAUAAUUAUGAAAUCAAAGAAAUUAUGUAAAAUUGAUGAAUCGUUAGUAUUAGAUUCAAAAUCUGAAUAUAAACCCAUGAUCUAAAAAAUUAUUUUCUCACUUCAUCCAUCAAAAUGGACUUAAUAUAAUUUCACUCUAAUAUCAAUGAACUCACUUAGACUGAUAUUUUGUUUUUAAUAUCGUUCCUCAGUAAAAGGAAUCAGAGCUCUUUAGAGAAGUGGCUCAUUCUUAAUCUGGAACACAGAAGCUAUAUACUAAGCCUGGGAUAUUUCGAGCUCAAGAUAUGGGGAAAAGGAACCUUUGUGUACUCUGGGUAGAAAUAUAAACUGGUACAGAUACUAUGGAAAGCUCCUCAAAAUAUUAAAGUUCCUCAAAAUAUUAAAAAUAGACCUACCUUAUAAUCAAGGAAUCCCACUUCUACAUAUAUCUAUCUAUCUGAAGGAAAUUAUUCAUUAUUCCUAAUAGCCAAGACAUGAAAACAACCUAAAUAUCCAAAGACUAAUGAAUGGAAAAAGAAAGUAUGGAGAUAGAUAGAUAUAUCUUCAUCCACAUAAACACACACACACACACACACACACACACACACACAAAUAAUGGAGCAUUAUUCAGCCAUUGAAGAAAGGAAAAUCUUCCAUUUGGGACAACUUAGAUGGACCUUCAGGGCAUUAAUGC
rnacentral:lncRNA from 1 species